GACGAAGGAUGCAAGCGUUAUCCGGAUUCAUUGGGUUUAAAGGGCGCGUAGGUGGUCUUAUAAGUCAGUGGUGAAAUCUCGCAGCUUAACUGCGAAACUGCCAUUGAUACUGUAGGACUUGAGUAUAGUUGCUGUGGGCGGAAUAUGACAUGUAGUGGUGAAAUACUUAGAGAUGUCAUAGAACACCGAUUGCGAAGGCAGCUCACAAAGCUAUAACUGACACUGAGGCUCGAAAGUGCGGGGAGCAAACAGG
rnacentral:rRNA from 1 species